UACAGAGGUCUCAAGCGUUGUUCGGAUUCAUUGGGCGUAAAGGGUGCGUAGGCGGCGCGGUAAGUCGGAUGUGAAAUCUCGGGGCUUAACUCCGAAACUGCAUUCGGUACUGCCGUGCUUGAGGACUGGAGAGGAGACUGGAAUUUACGGUGUAGCGGUGAAAUGCGUAGAUAUCGUAAGGAAGACCAGUGGCGAAGGCGGGUCUCUGGACAGUUCCUGACGCUGAGGCACGAAGGCCAGGGGAGCAAACGGG
rnacentral:rRNA from 1 species